rnacentral:rRNA from 1 species
GUGGGGAAUCUUGCGCAAUGGGCGAAAGCCUGACGCAGCCAUGCCGCGUGAAUGAUGAAGGUCUUAGGAUUGUAAAAUUCUUUCACCGGGGACGAUAAUGACGGUACCCGGAGAAGAAGCUCCGGCUAACUUCGUGCCAGCAGCCGCGGUAAUACGAAGGGGGCUAGCGUUGCUCGGAAUUACUGGGCGUAAAGGGCGCGUAGGCGGACAGCUUAGUCAGAGGCGAAAGCCCAGGGCUCAACCUUGGAAUUGCCUUUGAUACUGGCUGUCUUGAGUUUGGGAGAGGUGAGUGGAACUCCGAGUGUAGAGGUGAAAUUCGUAGAUAUUCGGAAGAACACCAGUGGCGAAGGCGACUCACUGGCCCAAUACUGACGCUGAGGCGCGAAAGCGUGGGGAGCAAACAGGAUUAGAUACCCGGGUAGUCC